UUUCUUCUCUGCCUCUCCCUCUGCCUCUCUCUCUCUCUCUCUCUUUGUUUUUUAAAUGAACAAUAUAAACUGGAAUUUAUAUAUGAUAGAGAGAGAAUAAGCAAGAGAGAGAGAGAGAAGAA